rnacentral:rRNA from 1 species
CAUGUCUUUUUGAUUAUAAUUUAAGGUUUAAUCUGCUCAAUGAGGAUUUAAAUUGCCGCGGUAUUCUGACCGUGCAAAGGUAGCAUAAUAAUUAGUUUUUUUAUUGAAAGCUGGAAUGAAUGAUUGGACGAGAAAACUACUGUCUCUUUGCGAUUUAGUAUUGAAUUUAACUUUUGGGUAAAAAGGCUCAAAUGUUUUUUAAAGACGAGAAGACCCUAUAGAGUUUUAUGAAUUAUUAUUUUCAUAUUUUUUGGUAUUUUUAAUUUGAAUCUAUAUUUUCAUUUGGUUGGGGUGACCUGAAGAUUUGUUAAAUUCUUCAAUUAUUUUAUCAGUGAUUUUUGAAUAUAGAAUCUGAUCGUUUCAAAUUUAAGAUAAAUUACCUUAGGGAUAACAGCGUAAUUUCUUUUUAGAGUUCUUAUUAAAAGAGAAGUUUGCGACCUCGAUGUUGGAUUAAAAUUUAUUUUCGGUGCAGAAGCUGGGAAAUUAAGUCUGUUCGACUUUUGAAAUUUUACAUGAUCUGAGU